CAGAGAGAGAGAGAAGCCAUGGACGCCGGCUCUGGGGAAAAAAGGAUCACGCCCAGGCAGUGGUACUCCGCUUCUGUCUCCGACGCCUUUCUGAGCACCAGGUGCUGCUUGCAAACCCUCCCCAGAGUAUGCAGGCUGACGAGGUAUCUCCACCAGAGGUUUGGACUCAUCCGACACUCGCAACCUGCUGCUCCUCCGGC